CCUACGGGAGGCAGCAGUGAGGAAUAUUGGUCAAUGGGCGUAAGCCUGAACCAGCCAAGUCGCGUGAGGGAUGAAGGCUCUAUGGAUCGUAAACCUCUUUUAUAAGGGAAUAAAGUGUGGGACGUGUCCUAUUUUGUAUGUACCUUAUGAAUAAGGAUCGGCUAACUCCGUGCCAGCAGCCGCGGUAAUACGGAGGAUCCGAGCGUUAUCCGGAUUUAUUGGGUUUAAAGGGUGCGUAGGCGGGCUUUUAAGUCAGCGGUGAAAGUCUGUGGCUCAACCCUAGCAUUGCCGUUGAAACUGGGGGGCUUGAGUGUGUGUGAGGCAGGCGGAAUGCGUGGUGUAGCGGUGAAAUGCUUAGAUAUCACGCAGAACCCCGAUUGCGAAGGCAGCCUGCCAGGCCAUGACUGACGCUGAUGCACGAAAGCGUGGGGAUCAAACAGGAUUAGAUACCCGAGUAGUC
rnacentral:rRNA from 1 species